rnacentral:rRNA from 1 species
AUAGCGUAUAUUAAAGUUGUUGCAGUUAAAAAGCUCGUAGUUGAACUUCAGACCUGGCUGGGCGGUCUGCCUCACGGUAUGUACUGUCUGGCUGGGCCUUACCUCUUGGUGAGCCGGCGUGCCCUUUAUUGGUGUGCGUCGGGGAACCAGGACUUUUACCUUGAGAAAAUUAGAGUGUUCAAAGCAGGCCUAUGCCUGAAUACAUUAGCAUGGAAUAAUAAAAUAGGACGUGCGGUUCUAUUUUGUUGGUUUCUAGAGUCGCCGUAAUGAUUAAUAGGGAUAGUUGGGGGCAUUGGUAUUGAGUCGCUAGAGGUGAAAUUCUUGGAUUGACUCAAGACCAACUAUUG